rnacentral:ncRNA from 1 species
AGAGUAGAUAAAACGCGUUGAACGGUUUGUUCUGGAGUGUUUUGGUACGGGAUGUUGACCAAAAACGAAAUGGUUUGACCUGCGGUGUUUUAUCGCGUCCGCU